UUACGGUCAUAUCACGUUGAAACACCAGUUCCCGUACAAUCACCGAUGUUAAGCAACGUAGAAUCUGGUCAGUAUCUAGAUAGAUGACUGUUUGGGAAUACUAGGCACUGUAA